rnacentral:rRNA from 1 species
CUAGCAUUCAUAAGCGGAGGAAAAGAAACUAACAAGGAUUCCCCUAGUAACGGCGAGUGAAGCGGGAACAGCUCAAAUUUGAAAUCCCAUAGGCUUGCCUAUGUGAAUUGUAGUUUAGAGAAACGUUUUCGGGGACGGCUUGGGUAUAAGUCCUUUGGAAAGAGGCAUCAUAGAGGGUGAGAAUCCCGUUUAUGAUCCAAUGUCCGUUCCUAUGUGAUACGUUUUCCAAGAGUCAGGUAGUUUGGGAUUGCUGCCUAAAAUGGGUGGUAAAUACCAUCUAAAGCUAAAUAUUGGCGAGAGACCGAUAGCGAACAAGUACCGUGAGGGAAAGAUGAAAAGAACUUUGAAAAGAGAGUUAAACAGUACGUGAAAUUGCCAAAAGGGAAACGCUUGGAACCAGUAUUGUUUGCAGGUAAUCAGCCUUGCGUCCUGAAAGGGUCGCGCAGGGUGCACUUGCCUGCUGACAAGUCAACAUCAGUUUGGUUUGGGGGAGAAAGCCGGAGGAAGGUAGCUUGGGCUUCGGCUCAAGUGUUAUAGCCUCCGGUCAUGCCCUGGGCUGGACUGAGGUCUGCAGUGUUAUUUGGGUUGCCUAUCGCCUCUUGAAACUUGGAUUCAGACAGCUUGCUGACUGCGUUCAAGGCUAGGGAGCUCGGUGGGUGUAUCACACCAACGCUUAGGAUGUUGACGAAAUGGUUCCAAACGACCCGUCUUGAAACACGGACCAAGGAGUCUAACAUAUAUGCGAGUAUUUGGGUGACAAACCCUUAUGCGAAAUGAAAGUGAAAACGGUGGGAUCUUCGGUGCACCAUCGACCGGUCUGGAUUUUUUUGAUAGAUCUGAGUAAGAGCAUAUCUGUUGGGACCCGAAAGAUGGUGAACUAUGCCUGAAUAGGGUGAAGCCAGAGGAAACUCUGGUGGAGGCUCGUAGCGAUUCUGACGUGCAAAUCGAUCGUCAAAUUUGGGUAUAGGGGCGAAAGACUAAUCAACCUCUGUGUUAACUU